rnacentral:tRNA from 1 species
GGUAUGUAGCUCAGUGGUAGAGCACUUGCCUAGCAUGCUGGAGGCCCUGGGUUCAGUCCCUGUACCC